rnacentral:lncRNA from 1 species
AAUACAAGCUUGAUAAUUCCUAAAGCUAGAACUAAAAUUGAGCUUCCAUCUCCAACAUUCAAAAAUCUCUAUCUGUCUUCAAAUUUUCUACUGAUCUAAAGACUUUGUAAUGAAUUACAAAUGUUAAUAGAGCUUCGAUAUCCAAUACCUAGAUCAUUGUAUAAAAAACUGAGAAGUUACAAAGUGUUAUCAUGUAAGUACCUUAUCCAGCAACC